GUGUCAGCCGCCGCGGUAAUACGUAGGGGGCGAGCGUUGUCCGGAAUUAUUGGGCGUAAAGGGUGCGUAGGCGGCCUUUUAAGUCAGGUGUGAAAGGUCACGGCUCAACCGUGGUAAGCACUUGAAACUGGAAGGCUUGAGUUAAGGAGAGGAAAGUGGAAUUCCUAGUGUAGCGGUGAAAUGCGUAGAUAUUAGGAGGAAUACCAGUGGCGAAGGCGACUUUCUGGCCUUUAACUGACGCUGAGGCACGAAAGCGUGGGGAGCAAACAGGAUUAGAUACCCUGGUAGUCCACGCCGUAAACGAUGAGUGCUAGGUGUUGGGGGUUAACCCUCAGUGCCGCAGCUAACGCAUUAAGCACUCCGCCUGGGGAGUACGUGCGCAAGCAUGAAACUCAAAUGAAUUGACGG
rnacentral:rRNA from 1 species